rnacentral:rRNA from 1 species
AGGACGAACGCUGGCGGCGUGCUUAACACAUGCAAGUCGAGCGGUAAGGCCCUUCGGGGUACACGAGCGGCGAACGGGUGAGUAACACGUGGGUGAUCUGCCCUGUACUUCGGGAUAAGCCUGGGAAACUGGGUCUAAUACCGGAUAUGACCUUACAUCGCAUGGUGUUUGGUGGAAAGAUUUAUCGGUACAGGAUGGGCCCGCGGCCUAUCAGCUUGUUGGUGGGGUAAUGGCCUACCAAGGCGACGACGGGUAGCCGGCCUGAGAGGGCGACCGGCCACACUGAGACUGAGACACGGCCCAGACUCCUACGGGAGGCAGCAGUGGGGAAUAUUGCACAAUGGGCGAAAGCCUGAUGCAGCGACGCCGCGUGAGGGAUGACGGCCUUCGGGUUGUAAACCUCUUUCGACAGGGACGAAGCGCAAGUGACGGUACCUGUAGAAGAAGCACCGGCCAACUACGUGCCAGCAGCCGCGGUAAUACGUAGGGUGCGAGCGUUGUCCGGAAUUACUGGGCGUAACUUUGCUUGAGGGGAGGUUUGUCGCGUCGUCCGUGAAAACUUGGGGCUCAACCCCAAGCUUGCGGGCGAUACGGGCAGACUUGAGUUCUGCAGGGGAGACUGGAAUUCCUGGUGUAGCGGUGAAAUGCGCAGAUAUCAGGAGGAACACCGGGUGGCGAAGGCGGG